UUUCCGAGGAUGCUGCUUUCCGAGGAUGCUGCUUUCCGAGGAUGCUGCUUUCCGAGGAUGCUGCUUUCCAUGCUCGAGAAGUAUUUCUUGAUAAAAAACCCCGUAAUUUCGUACGAGCAGGGCGUACAAAUUUCACAAUACUUUUCUUUACUUCGUAAAUAUUAUUAACCUUGCUGUGUGUAUUGCAGAAUACUCUAAUCGGCAUGCCAAUCUAGCUCCUCAAGACUUAUGAAGCGUGCAUCUAAUAAUAUUAAAAGGUUUAUUAAAAUGAUUAAAGUCGUUUGCUGCUCAUCAGACCUGAGUCUCCUUUUUAACCUCCUAUCGCCCAUAGAGGAGGUAAAAGGAGACUCUGCUGCUAUUAUAUCUUAGUUAUUUUAUAAAAGAGAUAGAAAACUCCCCUUGCUUGUGCUAUGUUGAGUUAUGCACCUGUCAAUUGAAACCCCCACCCCCUCCACCCCAUGGGAGGUAUGGGGCAUAGUUGGGGAAUUGUUGGGGAUUUGAUCUGUUGAUUUGCCCGAUGGGUUGGGGUAUUAUACGUGUUUUAGUACUUUGCCUGGCUUUUAGGGAUGGGGAUUUGAACAUUUUGGGCACUUCUUUUACCGUGGGGGUAGGGGACUUGUCAAUUUUGAAAGGUGGAGGACUGGGGUGGAGGAAUCUUGGCAGAGCAACCAGGGUCACAAUAUAAGUGAGUAAACACUUUUUUUUUUUGUAUUUUUUAUAUGAAUAUCUGAAUUGAGAGCUCAUCUGUCCUUUUGAUAUCAGUAAAGAAUAACUAUAAGAGAUUGAUCUUGUAUUUUUUGCUCUGAUGACAGUCUUCCAAUGUCGAUAUUUUUGCCUCAAACUUUCAUGUUUUAAAAUAGAGCUUUUGCUUUGGACUUCUUAUUUUUGAUAUAAAAGCUUGUCUGCAUUGAUUUUUUUUAAAUGUGCAGUUUCUGUUCAGUUUCAUUUUAUAAAAAGCAAAUUCAAAAAAUGAUUAAAGAAAAAUGAUAAAAAAAGAAAAGAUAUUCACGCAAUUUCUCGUGUGCAUGUACAACUCAACAUAGCACAAGCAGGGGGAGUUUUCUAUCUCUUCAUGAUUAUUUGAACCAUCAUUUGUUUUACGGUCGGAACUCGCGGCUCCAUAAAAUGGUUUUAUUAUUCGAUUACACAUUUUGUAAGGGGGUUUAAAAUGACUCAAAUUCUCCCAAAACUCGUCGAAAACGUCAAUGGACAAACAAACACGCAAUGGAAGAAAGGUAAAUUUUAUUGGAAUAUUUUUGAAUAACAAUGUUUAAAAAAUCUCCAUGCAUUGCCUUAUAAUAUGUGACACACAUAGCACUUAACCAAAACAUUUAUUUAAUAGAAAAGCUAAAAAAAUGGUAUAAUUAGAGGACAGAGUGUUAUCAUAGUUUGGUGACCCAAUCUUGUACCCAGAGCCCUUAUUUCUUACUGCGCAUGCUCGACAAAAUAAUUGGGCUUAACUGAGCACGUAGGCAUUUUGUCUGCGCAUGCGUGCAAAUAUAAGUUUUAAUAGAAAAACCGCUGAAUUGAGCCUGCAGAGAUUUUAUUUUCUGUCUAACAGCGCUUGUUUACUAGUUCUCUGUGUCCUUUGGAUACCAUUUAAAANGCUAUCGAAUGGAUAUUUUAUUGCCUUAUGAAAAAGGUUGUCGCUAAGUCAUUAUUUUACUCUUUAUUUUAAUAAAAUCAUGUAGAAAUUUCAACGUUGAGAACGAGAGAUUAGUGUUGAAAGGCGCUAAAAUAGAUAGAGGUAAGGGAUCGGAGGUAACUCGGUUAAUUCUUUCUUAAUGACAAGGUUGAUGGUUCAUUUCUAAAUUAAGUUAACCUACAAUCACCGCGUUGGGGUAGAGUCGUGAAUAAUUAUUAUUUCACUGUACAAGUACUGUACUUGUUUUCUUCUUGCAAGCAUAUUUGAAAGUGGUUACAAUCAGAGAAAAUUAUCUAACUGGUAAAAUUUCCUUUUUUAUUCAUGUUUCAUGGUUAGACUGACUUAAUAUAUAAGAAAAAGAAAAGGCCCAAUAAAGUAUAUAUACACUUGCUGUAAAUCCACUAUUAAGCAUCCCCUCUCCAAUAAACCCCCCCCCCCCCUUUCUAAUAAGUAACCCCCUUUCUAAAGAAAGAAUUUUUUAAAGCCAAACCUUCCCGAUUAAAGAAACAUGUAUACUGAUUAAAUGUGAUUUAUUAAAGUCUUGAUAGUUCACCAACAUGUUAAAUCACACUAAUUUGGCCCUUAUUUUCGGUUGCAUGACCUUCCCACUUCAGUUUUUCCCACUCUGCACUCUAGUUCCUUGUGAAUUUAACAAAUCAAAGUCAGGUUUCUAUGGGUCUGUACUGUAAUCGAAAAUGAUGAACCUGACAGCUUAGAACCUACUGCAUUUGGGCUAAAUCAAUACUUAAGUCCCCCUCUCCAAUGAGCCAAUAAGCCCCCAUCAAACUACCUGAAAUAAAUAAGCCCCCCCCCCCCCACAGCUUAAUUUAAUAGAGGAUUUACAUAUGAAGUAAAAGAAAUCUUUAGUUUUAUUCAUUUCAUAACCAUGAUCAUGAACAACCUGUGCAGAUAAUUAACAGAAUAGCAUAUAAUCAAAUUAAUUGUAUCACCAUCCACGAAAAAAUGUCAUGAGAUACCCAUCUAAAUUAAUCCUAAUGAUGCUGUCAUCCCAAGAUUAAAAAAUAAAUUUGGUCAGUUGUGGACAUCUAUAUAUUAGACUAAAAAUGAUAGUAUAUUGCAGCCUCAUUUACUAUAGUGAUUGUCAUAGGAUUGGACCAGUACAUCAAUACAACAGUGCAGCUUGUCGGUUUAAUUAAAUUUUAAUUUUAAUUUAGUCUUUACAAUGAAAAUAUAGAAAGGAACAAUUCAAAACAACAUUUACUCCUUGUAGUUUGAAAAAUAAUUCAUUCCUAUCCACCUUCCUUCUUCUCAGGACCAGCAGACUACCUUUUCAUCAUACACCUCUACCUAUAGACAGGAACAAAGAAACUAUAUUUUUAUUACAUUUAAUUAUCAUUCCCUUUUCCUAAUUAUUAUGUAAAGAAAUUUCUUCCUAAAGAUUGGCUGAGGCCCCAUUGAGAGGUUGGAAUCCUAAUAAUUAUAAACUUAUAACAAAUUUCUCUGGAACUUCACAUCAACUGAAAAUUGUUUCAACAAUUUUGGAAACCAUUUAUUACAGACUGUAAGUAGCUAGAUUAUUAGCUACCUUGCAAUUGGGCAGCUCUAAGAGCCAUGAUAGUUUUUAUUUCUUCAAUGGUUUGUAACCCUUUAAACUUCCUCUAUCUAGUACCUUAUAUAUGCUUCCUUAUACAUGCAUUCAUAGCACAUAGUGUAAUAUUAGUUAUUUACAUAGUGAAAGUGAAAAAUCUUCAAAAAAUGGUUUAAGGCCAUAACUUCUGUUUUGACUUUUAGAUUUUAAUACGAAUUAGAACUGCCUUGUCAUUUCUAGAGUGUGAAAAGAACACGAGUUUACUGCAUUAGCGUACAACAGUGAGCCAAGAUGGCCGAUUUAGGCAUGACAGGUCAGCUGUUUGAAAUUACUGUGUAAAGCCUGCACAAUUUUUCAAGGCAAAUGACUAUGCCCAGUUGAUUCUAUNGCCUAUUAGCUCUUAAAUGAUAACAAAUAGAAAUUUGGGGAAAAGCAAAAAUAAAUAGAAAUUUUACUUUUUCUUACUCGGGGUAGCAUUCACUCUAAUGAUAUUUUAGCAGUAAAAGUCUUACGAACUAUGCCAAUAGUUUUGGUGACAAAGAUAAGCAAUUUAAAAAACAACUACAAUAAACAAGAUUGAGGUGUUCAAGCUACCUUAUAUAGAUAUUUCAACAACUUGAAGAUCUUGGUAAACCUAAACAAGGAAAAUUACCCAAGAUUUGAGGAUAUGCUGAGGUAGCUGGGAUGGUCUUAACAUUUCCUUUAACACCAUAUGCCACACAAUUUUUCAGUACAAAAAAAUUGUACACCUGUAAAGAUAAAAGAAAGGCCAUUCUAAUAGAGGUAAUUUCCAUCUUGGGGAAUAGUAAAACUUUCGAGUAAAUUGACUUUGAAUUUGAGUAAAAAUUAUCUUACACGCGAAUUUGGCCAUCAAACAGUCUCCUAUUUUAGACGAUCAGCUUUCAACUAAAAGUUAUAAUUCAACAAAAUUAAAACAUCAAAGAAUAAUUUCUCACCUUAAAGAAAGAUUUCCUCAAUUUACUGGUUAGAUUUGAAAUACAACAGGAACAAAGUGAACCAUGUCUUGAGGUUUUUCCCUUUCGGGCACAUUUUGACGAGUGAUUUAUCUCCAAAUAAAAGGACGAUGUACUUGUUGAUAUGCUCAUGUGCUAGUCCUUCGUCUCUAGUUUUGAUCCUCUUUGAAGCUCUUCCAUCGAAUGCCUCUAAAUUCUGAGAACGUUGAUCAGAAAACCCACAGACUGUGCAUUCC
rnacentral:lncRNA from 1 species